UGCAUCUGUAUUUAUUUAAAAAUGCUUUUGCAACCUGACACUGUUCAGCUUUUUUAUCUUUUACCAGUAUUUGGGGACUUAUUGGGGAUUCCUUUGAUAAUUUCAGGAAGAAAGAAGUGGAAUGGAAGGAGCCAGUAACUGUCCCAGGUCAGAAAACGCCUCUGAAAAGGAUCUACAUUACACCCAAAGUUCAUUGGAUAACUGCACCCUCAACAAUCAGGAGACAAUAAGUGGUGUAGACAGAGCUAAUAUCUUCCCCAAAUCAGAUGGUACCUCUGAAGACAUUCAGCAUUCCACAGACUGUUCACAGGUUGAGACUUUCCACAUUCAGGAGACAAUAAGUGGUACGAACCAAGCCAGUAACUGCCCCAAAUCAGAUGGUGCCUCUGAAGACAAUCAGCAUUGCACAGACAGUUCACAGCAUGACAGUAUCUUCCACAUUCAGGAGACAAUAAAGGGUAUGAACCAAGCCAGUAACUGCCCCAAAUCAGAUGGUGCCUCUGAAGACAAUCAGCAUUGCACAGACAGUCCACAGCAUGACAGUAUCUUCCACAUUCAGGAGACAAUAAAGGGUAUGAACCAAGCCAGUAACUGCCCCAAAUCAGAUGGUGCCUCUGAAGACAAUCAGCAUUGCACAGACAGUUCACAGCAUGACAGUAUCUUCCACAUUCAGGAGACAAUAAAGGGUAUGAACCAAGCCAGUAACUGCCCCAAAUCAGAUGGUGCCUCUGAAGACAAUCAGCAUUGCACAGACCGUCCACAGCAUGACAGUAUCUUCCACAUUCAGUGGCUCUUGAUGUAGAACCACCCAUAGAUCCUUCUGCAAAAGAAGUCCAGAAAUCUUCAAUUGAACAAGCAACAGAAAUAACAAGUACCACAACUACCAUGAAAGGUACUGUUUGUUAAACUUCAUAGAAAGCCUUUAUGAACUUAAAAAUCUCUGUUUUUUCUGAUGUGCUUUGUUCAUUCAGGUCGAAAGGUGGUAAAGAAAAAGAAAUGGGACAGUGAUGAAAUGAAUGCAGUUGAAAAGCAUCUAAACAGGUUCAUCAAAACUUGUACAGUGCCAGGAAAACAACAAUGUGAGGCCUGUAUAAAUGCUGAACCUGUUGCCUUGAAAGACAGGGAUUGGUUGUCUGUAAAGUUCUUUGUGAAGAACAAAAUCACUACCCUUAAAAGAAGAAUGUAAAGUCAGUUAUUUUAUUUUGUUUGGUAUCUUAUUUUCUGGUAUUUUAGAUUUCUGGUUAUUACAUUUGUUUUAAAAGGAUCUUAGAAUCUCUUUUUUUUUUUUUUUUGGAAAUGGGUGCAAUUCAGUAAAGUGUCUUUGAAUCGAAUGUAAAUAUGUACAGAAUACUGUUCAGAAUGCUACAUAAAAAUAGCAAAAAAAAAUAAAUAUUUUAUUCAUGUUAUUAAAUUUUGAUCU
rnacentral:lncRNA from 1 species